rnacentral:rRNA from 1 species
GAUGAACGCUAGCUACAGGCUUAACACAUGCAAGUCGAGGGGAAACGGCAUUGAGUGCUUGCACUCUUUGGACGUCGACCGGCGCACGGGUGAGUAGCGCGUAUCCAACCUUCCCAUUACUGUGGGAUAACCUGCCGAAAGGCAGACUAAUACCGCAUAGUCUUCGAUGACGGCAUCAGAUUUGAAGUAAAGAUUUAUCGGUAAUGGAUGGGGAUGCGUCUGAUUAGCUUGUUGGCGGGGUAACGGCCCACCAAGGCUACGAUCAGUAGGGGUUCUGAGAGGAAGGUCCCCCACAUUGGAACUGAGACACGGUCCAAACUCCUACGGGAGGCAGCAGUGAGGAAUAUUGGUCAAUGGACGGAAGUCUGAACCAGCCAAGUAGCGUGCAGGAUGACGGCCCUAUGGGUUGUAAACUGCUUUUGUAUGGGGAUAAAGUUAGGGACGUGUCCCUAUUUGCAGGUACCAUACGAAUAAGGACCGGCUAAUUCCGUG